CCAAGAAAAAUGAUAACUCAAGUGUCAAAAUCAUGACAACCUUCGAAUAAAAUUAAAUAAUUAGGUACCCACGUAGAGAUUUUAUCGUUCACGCAAGAUAAGUAAGUCUUUCGUGGUGAUUAUGAAGUUUUUAGAAUAGAAACAAAAUACAUACGGUGGUUGAAUGAUAAGAAGGACACAUUAUCGGGCGUACUAAUUUGAGUCUCUUGUAUGGUCUUUCACGUAGUGAUGAGCAUUCCAAUCCUGCUUUCUUAUCCUUUCUUGAUGCCACUCAUUCCUCUCCCAUUGGCCCACCGUUCGUUUAACGUUGUUUUCUAGCCGUCACGGAUUUUUAAUGUCUUUGUCUUAUAAUACGGGACUUACACAAGAUUAAUUUUCCUCGUUUAUAAAAUUAAUGAUUUAGAUUAUGUGAGAAAUAAAAUCUAUCUUGGUUUGGUAUUUGAAGAAUUGGUGUAAGCGUCUAACAAAAAGGGUGCAUUGGGAAGAAAUCGGGACCAUUGAUCAAAAGAAUGUCGAUGACUCUGUUAAAAAGAAGUGAAGAUGGCCCAUCUAAAUAACUUCAAUCUCCAGUAUGUAGAAGAAUCUGGACCUGGUAGAAGCUAAUUAAGAGUUAAUUAGGACUUUUAAGGCGAUAAGAGUUGAAAAUCCUAGGAACUCAAAUAAGAAGAGAGACGUAUGAGAAUCAACAUUUAAAAUAAUCAAUCAAUCGCAUCAUAUAAUUAUCAAAAUACAUUCUUAACAAUUUACAUCAUUUUUAUUUUUAUUUUUUUUAUAAUUUUCAAGACAACCCUUUCUAUGUGAGUCGCUGUUUGGUGGCCUUUAAUUUGAAAAAACUAUGUUUUGAAUCGUAUUUUUUGAAGAAUGUGUUGUUAAAAAUUAAGAAAAAAUUUGAAUUUAUCUAUAGAAUAUUUUAUUGUGUGAAUGCGUUGCUGAAAAUAAGUAUAAGAAAUAAAUUGAAGUAAUGUAAAUUAAAUUAUUGAUCGCACAUAUAUGGAGGUGACUCAUUACCUAGUGUUAAUGAAAAACGAUGUCACUUUGUUAAUAUUCAAACAAGAUUAGGAGGUCAUACUACAAAUGAUUAUGUACCCAAAUUUACUAAGAAGAUAAGGAUAUACUUGUGAGUGAGAUUCGUCUCUAGAUUAAUCUUCCCUCUUAAGAAAGAAAGGGCAAAAGUGGUAAAAGGGGAGGGUGAAGAAAUCCAGCUUUGCUUGAGGCUGCCGCGUCAAGGGUUCGAAUCCUGAAAUAUGGAUUUGGCUUUUGGAUAAGUGCAAGUGUACAAGCAGCCUUCCAUCCUGUACCCUUGGAGUCAUAACCUGCGAUUUACCUCCCUCACGAUGCUCCAGGACAGGGGUGGUGGGAGACCCUUAAGGUUGGGGUUCAACCUUUAAAGAAAGGGCAAAAGUGACAAAACACACUUAAACAAUUUUAUUUAAAAGAUUACGCAAGAUUAUUCUUGUAAGAUAUCAGAAUCAUAAAACGGGCUUCUUACGUGUUGGAAGGGUAGAAUUAGGGUACACAAAUAAAAAAUUAUAUUGAACUGAAACAAUCUCCACCACCUGCCUUAUAUGUGCAUUUUUAAGCAAAAAUUAUGCAUGUAUAGAACACUUUUUUACAUAAAAUUGAUCGGAAAUCUCACAUUGUGCGGGCUCCAUGUGAUGAUAAAAAAAUGCAGAAAAAUCACCCACUCCUCCUGCUAUCGUGUCUUAUCUGUGCAAGCCCUAUAAAAAAAGUUUAUGUACAUGUAAUGCUAUUCUUUUUAAAGUACCACAAAAUAAAAAAUUAAGAUGACAACAAAAACUUUUAUGAGUUAAAUUAGUGAUUUCUGUCUUAACAAAUUCAGCUUGAUCGAGUUAAAUUAGUGAUUUCGAUCUUAACAAAUUCAGUUUGAUUUGAAAUUCAUUCUUUAAAACUCAAUUUUCAACGAUAUAUUUUCUCAAUAAAAUGAUUUUACAAGUAUUAAAAUCGCUUUUU
rnacentral:lncRNA from 1 species